AUUUCAAAGCAUCUUCAUGGAGCAACAGAGAUUGCAAAUGUUUCCAGACUAUGAAGCUGGAAUAGCUAAAGCAGAUAAUUUGGGUUUGGCAGGACCCAGAAUGACCCUGAAAAAGAGAGCCAACUGGAUUUCCUUCAUAAAGAUCAAGCCAAAAUGUGAUCCGUGGCAAAGGAAGCUUUUGACUAAAUUAAAAGAACGGAGAAGAACAGAUGCAUUAUUGCAACUCCAAGCAAAAUUUUUGAAGAUUUCCAACCCUGAGCGAGUAAGAUCAUGCUGCAAAGACAGUCAUGCUGGCUCCACAUCAUCCAUCUUUUGUGGCUUCCCAGGGUUUGCAUCUGUGCGACUAUGACCAAGUCUGGGAGAAUAUUUACAGCAACAUCAACCUCUGUCAG